CCAUAAUGGCAUCAUUGUAUCUGUCCCAUAACGGCAUCAUUGUAUCUGUCCUAUAACGGCAUCAUUGUAUCUGUCCCAUAACGGCAUCAUUGUAUCUGUCCCAUAAUGGCAUCAUUGUAUAGAUAGACAUGGCAUCAUUUUAUCUGUCCCAUAACGACAUCAUUGUAUCUGUCCCAUAACAGCAUCAUUGUAUUUGUCCCAUAACAGCAUCAUUUUAUCCAUCCCACAAGGGCAUCAUUGUAUCUGUCCCAUAAUGGCGACGCUAUUAAUAAUGGCAACCCCAUUGAGGGCAUCUCAAUUUUGAAGUAGUCCAUUUUCUUCUACAACUUCUUCAAUGAGUUGGUAAACAAACUGAAAGGGAGCACACUGCCCCCCGCAGGAUGUUGUCUGAACAGGUAUAAAGCCAAGGAUGCUGAUUUAAUGCCACCUGCAAUUAUGGGAUGUUUGCUCACACAUAUAAUGAAUUGGCUGAUCCCUGCUGAUGACCCAGAUGGAAUCAUUCCUUAACCCAUAGGAAGUCUCACCCAGCUGACUACUUCCAAAUGGUGAAAGUCCUCAGUGGCGCUGCACAUCCUAAAACAGUUUUAUGGGCACUAGAGUCCUCUAUCUAACUCUAUGGUUGGGAAACACCACUUACCUCCUUGUGUAUUCUCAAUAGUGUAGCCUUAGGGGUGUGUUCAAUAGUCUCUAGUGUAGCCUUAGGGGUGAGUUUCAAUAGUCUCUAGUGUAGCCUAGGGGUGAGUCUCAAUAGUCUCUAGUGUAGUCUAGAGGUGUGUCUCAAUAGUCUCUAGUGUAGUCUAGAGGUGUGUCUCAAUAUUCUCUAGUGUAGUCUAGAGGUAAGUCUCAAUAUUCUCUAGUGUAGUCUAGAGGUAAGUCUCAAUAUUCUCUAGUGUAGUCAAGGGGUGAGUCUCAAUAGUCUCUAGUGUAGUCAAGGGUUGAAUCUCAAUAGUCUACUGUAGUCAAGGGGUGAGUCUCAAUAGUCUCUAGUGGUGAGUCUCGAUAGUCUAGCGUAGUCUAGGGAUGAGUGUCAAUAGUCUCUAGUGUAGUCUAGGGUGAGUCUCAAUAGUCUCCAGUGUAGUCUAGGGGUGAGUCUCAACAGUAUCUGGUGUAGUCUAGGGCUGAGUCUUAACAUUCUAGUGUAGUCUAGGGGCGAGUCACAAUAGUCUCUAGUGUAGUCUAGGGGUGAGUCUCAAUAGUCUCUAGUUUAGUCUAGGGGUAAGUCUCAAUAGUUUACUGUAGUCUAGGGGUGAGUGUCAAUAGUCUCCAGUGUAGUCUAGGGGUGAGUCUCAAUAGUCUCUAGUGUAGUCUAGGGGUGAGUCUCAAUAGUUUAGUGUAGUCUAGGGGUGAGUCUCAAUAGUCUCUAGUAUAGUCUAGGGAUGAGUCUCAUUAGUCUAAAGUGUAGUCUAAAGGUGUCUCAACAGUCUCUAGUUUAUUCUAGGGGUGAGUCUCACACUCUCUAGUGUAGUUGAGAGGUGAGUCUCAAUAGUCUCUAGUGUCAUCUAGUGGUGAGUCUCAACUCUCUCUAGUUUAGUCUAGGGGUGAGUCUCAAUAGUCUCUAGUGUAUUCUAUUGGUGAGUCUCAAUAGUCUAGUGUAUUCUAGGGGUGAGUCUCAAUAGUCUAGUGUAGUCUAGGGGUGAGUCUCAAUAGUCUCUAGUGUAGUCUAGUCUUGUCUAGAGGUUUGUCUCAUUGGUCUCUAGUAUAGUCAAGGGGUGAGUUUCAUUAUUCUCUAGUGUAGUCUAGGGAUUAGUCUCAUUAGUCUCUCAUGUAGUCAAGGGGUAGGUCUCAAUAGUCUCUAGUGAAGUAUAGGGGUAAGUCUCAAAAGUCUCUAGCGUAGUCAAGGGGUAAGUCUCAAUAGUCUCUAGUGAAGUCUAGGGGUAAGUCUCAAUAGUCUCUAGUGUGGCCAAGGGGUGAGUCUCAUUAUUCUCUAGUGUAGUCUAGGGGUAAGUCUCAAUAGUCUCUAGUGUAGUCAAGGGUGAGUCUCAUUACUGUUUCGUCUGUUAUACUAAUGCUGCCACUAGAUGGGGUCAGAUGGACCUGCAAGUGACAUUUUUAAUUUGGUAUUCUAGUUCAACUAUUGAGAUGCAUCGCUGGGAGGAAACAAAACUAGACUGUUGAGAUGUACCGCUAGAAGGAUAUGAGACUAGAUUAUUGAGAUGUAGCCCUAGAAGGAUAUUAGACUAGAUUAUUGAGAUGUACCCCUAGAAGGAUAUUAGACUAGAUUAUUGAGAUUUACCCCUAGAAGGAUAUUAGACUAGAUUAUUGAGAUGUACCCCUAGAAGGAUAUUAGACUAGAUUAUUGAGAUGUACCCCUAGAAGGAUAUUAGACACGCUAUUGAGAUGUACCCCUAGAAGGAUAUUAGAUCAUACUAUUGAGAUGUACCGCUAGAAGGAUAUUAGACCAGAUUAUUGAGAUUUACCCCUAGAAGGAUAUUAGACUAGAUUAUUGAGAUUUACCCCUAGAAGGAUAUUAGACUAGAUUAUUGAGAUUUACCCCUAGAAGGAUAUUAGACACACUAUUGAGAUGUACCCCUAGAAGGAUAUUAGAUCAUACUAUUGAGAUGUACCCCUAGAAGGAUAUUAGAUCAUACUAUUGAGAUGUACCCCUAGAAGGAUAUUAGAUCAUACUUUUGAGAUGUACCCCUAGAAGGAUAUUAGACCAGAUUAUUGAGAUUUACCCCUAGAAGGAUAUUAGACUAGAUUAUUG
ensembl:lncRNA